GGCGGAUUCGUCUAAAUGGUCAGGAUAGGAGACUCUCAAUCUCCAGAUGUCGGGUUCGAGCCCCGCAUCCGUCA
rnacentral:tRNA from 2 species